ACGGAAGGCAGCAGUGGGGAAUAUUGCACAAUGGGGGAAACCCUGAUGCAGCGACGCCGCGUGAGUGAAGAAGUAUUUCGGUAUGUAAAGCUCUAUCAGCAGGGAAGAAAAUGACGGUACCUGACUAAGAAGCCCCGGCUAACUACGUGCCAGCAGCCGCGGUAAUACGUAGGGGGCAAGCGUUAUCCGGAUUUACUGGGUGUAAAGGGUGCGUAGGCGGCACGGCAAGUCAGAAGUGAAAUCCCAGGGCUCAACCCUGGAACUGCUUUUGAAACUGUCGAGCUAGAGUGCAGGAGAGGUAAGCGGAAUUCCUAGUGUAGCGGUGAAAUGCGUAGAUAUUAGGAGGAACACCAGUGGCGAAGGCGGCUUACUGGACUGACACUGACGCUGAGGCACGAAAGCGUGGGGAGCAAACAGGAUUAGAUACCCUGGUA
rnacentral:rRNA from 2 species